GAUGAACGCUGGCGGCGUGCUUAACACAUGCAAGUCGAACGAAGCAUUUAAGACAGAUUACUUCGGUUUGAAGUCUUUUAUGACUGAGUGGCGGACGGGUGAGUAACGCGUGGGUAACCUGCCUCAUACAGGGGGAUAGCAGCUGGAAACGGCUGGUAAUACCGCAUAAGCGCACAGUACCACAUGGUACAGUGUGAAAAACUCCGGUGGUAUGAGAUGGACCCGCGUCUGAUUAGCUUGUUGGCGGGGUAACGGCCCACCAAGGCGACGAUCAGUAGCCGACCUGAGAGGGUGACCGGCCACAUUGGGACUGAGACACGGCCCAGACUCCUACGGGAGGCAGCAGUGGGGAAUAUUGCACAAUGGAGGAAACUCUGAUGCAGCGACGCUGCGUGAGUGAAGAAGUAGUUCGCUAUGUAAAGCUCUAUCAGCAGGGAAGAUAGUGACGGUACCUGACGAAGAAGCUCCGGCUAAAUACGUG
rnacentral:rRNA from 1 species